CUGGAAGAACCAGAACGCAGAUCGAGCCUCCGGCUCUCACCAGGUGGCCACAGGAAAAGACAUGAAUCCCAAGUGUUGUGAUCAGACCGGUCCUUGUCUCCUGGAGCCUGAAAACCGGCCUCGGACACACACAGGAACUGGCCCGGUUGCCCGCAAGCAGCCUCUUUAGUUUCCUCUUUAGUAGCCGUUGGCCGUGAUCUCUGCUCACCCCAGUGCUGACCGGAGCUAUUCACGAUGCUUUAAACUAUUUUAAGCUGGGCAUGAUGGCACACACCUUUAACCUCAGCGCUCAGAAUGCAGAGGCAGGUGGAUCUCUGUGAAUUUGAGUCUAGCCCGAUCUACAUAGAGAGUUGCAGGGCAGCCAGGGCUACAUAGAGAGACCCUGUAUAGAAACAACAAAAAUAAAAAUGUGGGUUUGCUUACAUGU
ensembl:lincRNA Gm26739 predicted gene, 26739